ACAAAAGCUGCUACUUGAAGCAGAGAAGCAAUGCCAUUAUAUUAAAAAAAACAGGUUCGUGACCUCAGUGCAGAUAGACACCAUCAAGAGACAUGAUCACACACAGUGGGGCAAAAACGACAAAGGAUUGAGCCAAGUUUUCCAUUGGCCCUAUUAAUAUGGAAGCCUGCUCCAAUAUGUAACAAUGCCCACAAUCCCACAGACUUGACUGAAAGCUAUCUACAGGAAAGAUGAAAGGGACUCCAAUCCUUACGAACUGCAAUGUAGAACUUGCAGCUGUAACUUCACAUCACUGUUUAUCCACCUAAGGACUCUGAUUUUAACAUAGCACAAAGAAAACCAUGGUAGCAGCUUACAGGAAGAAGUAGCUGUGCAACACUGUUACUUUUAAUUAAUGCACUGUAACCAAAGCUUGAGUCGCAGUGAAUAUUGCAUCAUUCUUGUUUCAACAUAGGGAAUGUUCCAAUAUGAAGGACAGCAACAAAAUUUUCAGUGACUUCAGUGGCACAGUCAAGUCUGAAGCAAACAAAGGAUUCAGCUGCUUACUUCUGGAUUUUCAGUAACAUGAUACUGAUGUGUACAAACUUUGGGCAAGGCCUUGUGUAAGGGUAUGACAUUACAACAGCUGGAAAGAGUAAGGGAAGUCACUUUUCAGAACUCUUGCAAAAAGAAAAAGAAGAUUCUGUUGAUCUUUGGUUUUCACCCAAAGGUGUGUGACACUGGGAAUUUUAAAGAUAAACAAAACCAAAUUGAAGUCUUAAGCAAUAUUGCAUAUACUACAAAUGUGAUUAUAAUGUUUCUGACUUGGACAUGUGAUACCAAGGCUUUAGCUUGCAAAACAUUAUUGUUUCCGGAGAUAUAAAACUGUGGAUCUCUAAAAGAAAAACAGUUACUUGCGCAACAUCUGUUAAACAAAAUAAAUAUAUAUAUAGUUUACUAGUACUCUCAUAUAAUUCACCUACAAUUGUUGGAACUAAGCAAUAUAGACAAAUAACAAAUAAAUAAGCCAUGAAAUCUGAAAAAUGUGAGGAAAGAAGAUAUAUCCUAAUUAUAAGCAACGUUUGUAGUCGGAAUUUAAUUCAUUCAAUUAAUGGUAUGUAAUAUAGUAAUGAUGCAUAUUUCCAUUCACUAGCCAGCUGGCCUCCAGAGCCUCUUGAUAAUAGAGUCAAUCUGACUAGAUCUUGUAUUGGUUUAAAGUGUCUAAAAAUUAAAAUAAUUUCUAUUAUAAAAUUAUGACAAGCAACUUAACAGGGAUAUAGCUACCUAUCACAUAGCUAAGAGGAGAAUGAUGAAGUCAAGAGUGUUUCUACAAGCCUGUCCAUGAAACUCUUUUCUGGGAAAGGUGAACUCUAGCUUCCAUACUGUAACCAGAGAAUUGCAUAUAUAUACGUAGUGGACUUUGCUAUAAAAUACAGGAGACUGGGAUAUCCAAUACAAUGAGCUUCUUUGAGUCUCCAGCCAGAGGAAUCAUUCUCUCAAGUUUCUUCUCUCCUGCACCAUGUUUUCUGAUAAAAUAUACACAAUGGCAAUUGUCCUUGGAAGUAGGGAAAAAGUUUAAAAUUCCUUGGAAAGAGGAGAUGAAUUGGGCCUCUGUUUUAAAGACUAAGUUACAAGUUUUUAAAAGGGAUGCUGCCCUGUUAGACAUGUAAGAUAUUUCCAGUGGUAGGUACCCUCAGAAAAGUUGGCCAAAUUGGGGUGGCAAACAGAGGAAUGUUUCAUUUCCAAAUUCCCAUCAGGCUGGGAAGUGAGAGACUUCAAAGGUAGGAAAGUACGACUUCUGUAGAGUUCAGUCUCUCUAAGAAGGCUUUAGAAAUUAUACAGUUGAAUUAUAUCUCAAGCCUGUAUUUUGCACAUUUAAUUUGUCAGAAUGGAUCCCAUAAAGGUAUAACUGUUCUCUCUGGAAUAACAUAUUACUUAAACUACUGUGCCUUCUGUAUUUGUCAGUUUUCUGUAUAUUUUCAUUUUAUUUUGUAGGCAAAUGAUAGAAUAAGAAAACAGUGAUUUAUAUAGAAUAGUAUAGUCCUUUCCUGGGUCUAGGAAUAGAUCUUCAAAGAUCAUCUAGUCCAACUGCGUGACCUCAUCAGGGCUGAAUUAAAGCAUAUUAGUGAGGGCCUUGUCCAAACAUCUCUGAACACUGAUAGGCAUGAGAUACUUAUAUCUCAAUCUGAAUUUACUUUUGAAAUCACAUUCUCUUCCUUACUUCUUGUAAGUUAAUGAAAUUCAUUAUGAUAUCUUUAAAAAUUAAUCUAGAUCUUCACUAUUGUCCUUCAAAGACUGAAUUUUUAAAUGCAGAUUUUCAGUGUCUUGAGAACAACUGAUAACACAGAAAGUUGAAACUCCAUUUCAGAAAGAAAUACAGAGACACAGAGUUUUACCUCAGCUGACCAAGAGAAAACUAGAAGAUAUCAACCCAUUAUCUUGUUCUUGUCUCUUUAUAUUAUUUAUUUUGUUACGGAAACUGACUUUCAAUAUGACUCUUUAUUAUAGUACUCCGUCAUUAAAUUGACCAGAAAAUUUUUGAGUAAUGUUGAUGUCAGUGCCAGAAAUUUUGAAAGUAUAGAUGCACUAACUUGGGUAGUAAAUUACAAUGUUAGUAGAUCUUGUUUUACUUCUGGAAUCAGAUCAGUAUUGCUAUCACUGCGAUUCCACAGAUGGGGAAAUUCAGGCAAAGAGAUGGUAAGUUUUGGUCAGAAAUAGUAAAACUCCUGGCUGCUGCACAAGUAUGUUAACCAUGAGAUUGUACUCACAGGUAUACAAUUGGAUCUAUCCAUUUCUUAAAUAGACAUUUACUUAUACCAGAUUAUGAAUAAAUGUUU
rnacentral:lncRNA from 7 species